rnacentral:rRNA from 1 species
AGAGUUUGAUCAUGGCUCAGAUUGAACGCUGGCGGCAGGCCUAACACAUGCAAGUCGAGCGGUAACAGAGAGAAGCUUGCUUCUCUGCUGACGAGCGGCGGACGGGUGAGUAAUGGCUGGGAACCUGCCCUGAUGUGGGGGAUAACCAUUGGAAACGAUGGCUAAUACCGCAUAACGUCUACGGACCAAAGAGGAGGACCUUCGGGCUUCUCGCGUCAGGAUGGGCCCAGUUGGGAUUAGCUAGUAGGUGAGGUAAAGGCUCACCUAGGCGACGAUCCCUAGCUGGUUUGAGAGGAUGAUCAGCCACACUGGAACUGAGACACGGUCCAGACUCCUACGGGAGGCAGCAGUGGGGAAUAUUGCACAGUGGGGGAAACCCUGAUGCAGCCAUGCCGCGUGUAUGAAGAAGGCCUUCGGGUUGUAAAGUACUUUCAGCAGUGAGGAAGAUAGUGUAGUUAAUGCCUGCGUUGUUUGACGUUAGCUGCAGAAGAAGCACCGGCUAACUCCGUGCCAGCAGCCGCGGUAAUACGGAGGGUGCGAGCGUUAAUCGGAAUUACUGGGCGUAAAGCGCAUGCAGGCGGACUGUUAAGUCAGAUGUGAAAGCCCCGGGCUCAACCUGGGAAUCGCAUUUGAAACUGGCAGUCUAGAGUCCUGUAGAGGGGGGUAGAAUUUCA